GCAGCGGGGAACCAGGGCUCUGCGGGGCUCAUGGCGAGUUAUGGAAGCUGUUACGAAUCUGCCUUAUGUAAAUGAACAAGUGCAGCAGCUAUGGUUCAAGAAGGCCAUGGUGACCAGAGGCUCAGACCCUUCAGGGAGGAGGCUCAGGGUCACCUUAUCAGCCUGGACUUUAACCACGUGGAAAGCAAGAUUAGAGGCCCCCUGAAUAGUACUGUUCACGAAGACUAAAAGGAACUGAGUGUGCCUGAGCUUAAGCAUCACGAAGACCAG
rnacentral:lncRNA from 1 species